rnacentral:rRNA from 1 species
UACGAAGGGGGCUAGCGUUGCUCGGAAUCACUGGGCGUAAAGCGCGCGCAGGCGGCUAUCCAAGUCAGUGGUGAAAGCCCGGAGCUCAACUCCGGAACUGCCAUUGAAACUGUUUAGCUUGAGUAUGAGAGAGGUGAGUGGAAUUCCCAGUGUAGAGGUGAAAUUCGUAGAUAUUGGGAAGAACACCGGUGGCGAAGGCGGCUCACUGGCUCAUUACUGACGCUCAGGCGCGACAGCGUGGGGAUCAAACAGG